rnacentral:rRNA from 1 species
AUACGGAGGGUGCAAGCGUUGUCCGGAAUUACUGGGUGUAAAGGGUGCGUAGGCGGGCUUGUGCGUCAGGGGUUAAAUCCCACGGCUUAACCGUGGAGCUGCCCUUGAUACGGCAAGUCUUGAGUAUGAGAGAGGAUGAUAGAAUUCCUGGUGUAGCGGUGAAAUGCGUAGAUAUCAGGAAGAAUACCAGUGGCGAAGGCGGUCAUCUGGCUCAUUACUGACGCUCAGGCACGAAAGCGUGGGGAGCGAACAGGAUUAGAUACCCUAGUAGUCC